rnacentral:rRNA from 1 species
UUUCGAAUCAUCCACAAUGGGCGAAAGCCUGAUGGUGCGACGCCGCGUGAGGGAUGAAGGCCUUAGGGUUGUAAACCUCUGUCAUUAAGGAGCAAUGGCUAAGUUCAUAGCUUAGUUUGAGUUAACUUAAAGAGGAAGCAGUGGCUAACUCCGUGCCAGCAGCCGCGGUAAUACGGAGACUGCGAGCGUUACUCGGAUUCACUGGGCGUAAAGGGUGCGCAGGCGGCUAAUUGUGUCAGGUGUGAAAUCCCGGGGCUUAACUCCGGAACUGCGCCUGAAACUGGUUGGCUAGAGGCUCGGAGAGGUAAGCGGAAUUCCAGGUGUAGCAGUGAAAUGCGUAGAUAUCUGGAGGAACACCAAAGGCGAAGGCAGCUUACUGGAAGAGAUCUGACGCUCAGGCACGAAAGCGUGGGUAGCGAAAGGGAUUAGAUACCCCCGUAGUCC